AUUAUUAUAGCCUGUUCUGUUCUGGGUGAAGCUGCUUUACUAACCAGAGAUGAGACUGCUCUAGCAGGAGGGGAGGGGCCAUACUGGGGAGGGAGAGAUGAGAGACAACCAACCAAGCUGACUUACACUAUAGUACACAAGUACACUACCUGGCCAAAAGUAUGUGGACACCUGCUGGUCCAACAUCUCGUUCCAAAAUCAUGGGCAUUAAUAUGGAGUUGGUCCCCCUUUGCUGCUAUAACAGCCUCCACUCUUCUGGGAAGGCUUUCCACUAGAUGUUGGAACAUUGCUGCUAUAACAGCCUCCACGCUUCUGGGAAGGCUUUCCACUAGAUGUAGGAACAUUGCUGCUAUAACAGCCUCCACGCUUCUGGGAAGGCUUUCCACUAGAUGUAGGAACAUUGCUGCUAUAACAGCCUCCACGCUUCUGGGAAGGCUUUCCACUAGAUGUAGGAACAUUGCUGCUAUAACAGCCUCCUCUCUUCUGGGAAGGCUUUCCUCUAGAUGUAGGAACAUUGCUGCUAUAACAGCCUCCUCUCUUCUGGGAAGGCUUUCCACUAGAUGUUGGAACAUUGCUGCUAUAACAGCCUCCUCUCUUCUGGGAAGGCUUUCCACUAGAUGUUGGAACAUUGCUGCUAUAACAGCCUCCACUCUUCUGGGAAGGCUUUCCACUAGAUGUUGGAACAUUGCUGCUAUAACAGCCUCCACUCUUCUGGGAAGGCUUUCCACUAGAUGUUGGAACAUUGCUGCUAUAACAGCCUCCUCUCUUCUGGGAAGGCUUUCCACUAGAUGUUGGUACAUUGCUGCUAUAACAGCCUCCACUCUUCUGGGAAGGCUUUCCACUAGAUGUUGGAACAUUGCUGUUAUAACAGCCUCCACUCUUCUGGGAAGGCUUUCCACUAGAUGUUGCUACAUUGCUGCAGGGACUAGCUUCCAUUCAGCCACAAGAGCAUUAGUGAGGUCGGGCACUGAUGUUGGGCGAUUAUGCCUGGCUCUCAGUCGGCGUUCCAAUUCAUCCCAAAGGUGUUUGAUGGGGUUGAGGUCAGGGUUCUGUGCAGGCCAGUCAAGUUCUUCCACACCGAUCUCGACAAACCAUUUGAGUAUGGACCUCACUUUGUACACGGGGGCAUUGUCAUGCUGA
rnacentral:lncRNA from 8 species